rnacentral:rRNA from 1 species
CCUACGGGAGGCAGCAGUAAGGAAUAUUGGACAAUGGUCGCAAGACUGAUCCAGCCAUGCCGCGUGCAGGAUGACUGCCCUAUGGGUUGUAAACUGCUUUUGUACGGGAAUAAACCCCUCUACGUGUAGAGGGCUGAAUGUACCGUAAGAAUAAGGGUCGGCUAACUUCGUGCCAGCAGCCGCGGUAAGACGAAGGACCCAAGCGUUAUCCGGAUUCAUUGGGUUUAAAGGGUGCGUAGGCGGAUUGAUAAGUCAGUGGUGAAAGCCUGUUGCUUAACAACAGAACUGCCAUUGAUACUGUUGAUCUUGAAUAUGUUUGAUGUGGGCGGAAUAUGACAUGUAGCGGUGAAAUGCUUAGAUAUGUCAUAGAACACCGAUUGCGAAGGCAGCUCACAAAGCCAUUAUUGACGCUGAGCACGAAGACGUGGAGUACAACAGAUAGAUACCUACGUAGUCGACGCUGUAACUUAGUAUCUACUCG